rnacentral:pre_miRNA from 1 species
UAUCUACUCCCUCCAUCCGGAAUUACUUGUCGCACAAAUGAAUAAAAAAGGAUGCAUCUAGAACUAAAAUACAUCUAGAUACAUCCAUUCUUAUGUCAAGUAUUUCCGGACGGAGGGAGU